rnacentral:rRNA from 1 species
ACGGGGGGAGCAAGCGUUGUUCGGAAUCACUGGGCGUAAAGGGCGUGUAGGCGGUCAGGUAAGUGGGAUGUGAAAUCCCUCGGCUCACCCGAGGAUCUGCAUUCCAAACUGCUUGGCUUGAGUAUGGGAGAGGAUGAGGGAAUUCCUGGUGUAGCGGUGAAAUGCGUAGAUAUCGGGAGGAACACCUGUGGCGAAAGCGGCUCACCGGACCACAACUGACGCUGAUGCGCGAAAGCUAGGGGAGCAAACAGGA